GAAAUUAAACCUGUUGAUGAAACCUCCGCUACUCGCCAGUCGCCACCGGAGGGCUACUCUUCGCCAAUAAUCGUUCCAUAUCCACUUUUCCACAAAUUACGUUUGUAUUUCAAGACGCUCAAUUGUGGGAGGCAGUUAGUUAUCUCUGGUGAGAUUUCGUACGUCAAACUCAAACCAGUCAAACGUCAGAAGAAAUUUUUGAAUUUGUUCCACGAAUUUUUGUGUUAUAGCAUGCCGUCACUUCUAGCUUCUAGCAUGUUUCUAGCUUGGGACACAGCUUGGGAUCCAAAUACAUUUCCAUGAAAAGUCUUCACAACAGGUUUACAUACUGCCGCUAUGACACACUGGAUCAUUAGUUGUUGAAGCCCUUCUCAGAACAAGUUCUGUGUUGCUCUCUAUUAUUUGUACAAUAUUCUCAAUAUUUUUUUGUAAGAGAAAUACUUUAAGUAAUGUCUAUAGUUAUAUACCUUGUCAGAUACUACAUUUGCUGCCAUCUGUUCUGUGGACAAGACAUUGCUGCCAGUUAAGAGGUUGUUGUGAACAUCACUUGGGUUGUUAUUAAGGAAAAUGAUUGAUUAGAGGUUUGUCCCUCACUGAUUUUAAAUCAGGUUAACCCCUCGGCACUGUGCCAUAUCCAUUGGUGGAAAAUGAAAAUAUACAGAGUUGGAUUGACCUGGAGUAUAUGGAUUAUCAGUCUGGUAAAACUAUGAACUUCUUUGUUGCUGCCCAACGUACACAUGGAUUUGAUGCAGCCAGCUGAGGGCUUCAACUCUUGUUUAGUGUUUUAUGUUCGCGGUGUUUUAUGUUCGCGUUGUUGCUGUGUGAUGUGGCACGUUGUUGAAGCCUAUGCUGGUGAAAGAUCUUUCUUUUCUACAUCAAGUUCAAUUGACCGUUCCUUGGUGCUGAUGUUGUGUUACCGAAGUUGCAUCAUAUUUUGUUAAAUUGUCAUCGUGACUAUUU